rnacentral:rRNA from 1 species
UACGGAAGGUGCGAGCGUUGUUCGGAUUGAUUGGGCGUAAAGCGCAUGUAGGCGGGUUUGUAAGUCGGAUGUGAAAGCCCUGGGCUUAACCUGGGAACUGCAUCCGAAACUAUAAAUCUUGAAUGCUCGAGGGGUUGGUGGAAUUCCUGGUGUAGGAGUGAAAUCCGUAGAUAUCAGGAGGAACACCUGUGGCGAAAGCGGCGCACUGGACCACAACUGACGCUGAGGCGCGAAAGCUAGGGGAGCAAACAGG